rnacentral:rRNA from 1 species
UACGGAGGAUCCAAGCGUUAUCCGGAAUCAUUGGGUUUAAAGGGUCCGUAGGCGGUCUUAUAAGUCAGUGGUGAAAUCUCCCCGCUCAACGGGGAAACGGCCAUUGAUACUGUUAGACUUGAAUUAUUGUGAAGUAACUAGAAUAUGUAGUGUAGCGGUGAAAUGCUUAGAUAUUACAUGGAAUACCAAUUGCGAAGGCAGGUUACUAACAAUAUAUUGACGCUGAUGGACGAAAGCGUGGGGAGCGAACAGG